CCCUACGGGGGGCAGCAGUGGGGGAUAUUGGACAAUGGGGGAAACCCUGAUCCAGCGACGCCGCGUGAGUGAAGAAGUAUUUCGGUAUGUAAAGCUCUGUCAGCAGGGAAGAAAGAAAUGACGGUACCUGACCAAGAAGCCCCGGCUAACUACGUGCCAGCAGCCGCGGUAAUACGUAGGGGGCAAGCGUUAUCCGGAUUUACUGGGUGUAAAGGGAGCGUAGGUGGCAGGGCAAGUCAGAUGUGAAAACCCGGGGCUCAACUCCGGGAGUGCAUUUGAAACUGUCCAGCUAGCGUGCAGGAGAG
rnacentral:rRNA from 1 species